CCUAUAACUGUUGCUUCGGCGGGCAGGGUCUCCGUGACCCUCCCGGCCUCCCGCCCCCGGGCGGGUCGGCGCCCGCCGGAGGAUAACCACACUCUGAUUUAACGACGUUUCUUCUGAGUGGUACAAGCAAAUAAUCAAAACUUUUAACAACGGAUCUCUUGGUUCUGGCAUCGAUGAAGAACGCAGCGAAAUGCGAUAAGUAAUGUGAAUUGCAGAAUUCAGUGAAUCAUCGAAUCUUUGAACGCACAUUGCGCCCGCCAGCAUUCUGGCGGGCAUGCCUGUUCGAGCGUCAUUUCAACCCUCAAGCUCUGCUUGGUGUUGGGGCCCUACGGCUGACGUAGGCCCUCAAAGGUAGUGGCGGACCCUCCCGGAGCCUCCUUUGCGUAGUAACUUUACGUCUCGCACUGGGAUCCGGAGGGACUCUUGCCGUAAACCCCCAAUUU
rnacentral:rRNA from 1 species